UUGACCUCGGAUCAGGUAGGGAUACCCGCUGAACUUAAGCAUAUCAAUAAGCGGAGGAAAAGAAACCAAC
rnacentral:rRNA from 8 species